rnacentral:tRNA from 1 species
GCGAGAGUGCUGGAAUAGGUAGACAGGCACGUUUGAGGGGCGUGUGUCGAAUGGCGUGUGGGUUCAAGUCCCAUCUCUCGCACCA